UUGAACGCUGGCGGCAGGCCUAACACAUGCAAGUCGAGCGGAUGAAGGGAGCUUGCUCCUGGCUUCAGCAGCGGACGGGUGAGUAAUGCCUAGGAAUCUGCCUGGUAGUGGGGGAUAACGUCCGGAAACGGGCGCUAAUACCGCAUACGUCCUGAGGGAGAAAGUGGGGGAUCUUCGGACCUCACGCUAUCAGAUGAGCCUAGGUCGGAUUAGCUAGUUGGUGGGGUAAAGGCCUACCAAGGCGACGAUCCGUAACUGGUCUGAGAGGAUGAUCAGUCACACUGGAACUGAGACACGGUCCAGACUCCUACGGGAGGCAGCAGUGGGGAAUAUUGGACAAUGGGCGAAAGCCUGAUCCAGCCAUGCCGCGUGUGUGAAGAAGGUCUUCGGAUUGUAAAGCACUUUAAGUUGGGAGGAAGGGCAGUAAGUUAAUACCUUGCUGUUUUGACGUUACCAACAGAAUAAGCACCGGCUAACUUCGUG
rnacentral:rRNA from 1 species